rnacentral:rRNA from 1 species
AAAAUGAGAGUUUGAUCCUGGCUCAGGAUGAACGCUGGCGGUAUGCUUAACACAUGCAAGUCGAACGGGGUUACCGGUACAAAGGGCUUCGGCCCAAUGAACUGACUAACCUAGUGGCGGACGGGUGAGUAACACGUGAGUAACCAACCUUAUACACAAGGAUAACACUGGGAAACCAGUGCUAAUACUAGAUAUUAUAUAAAGAAGGCAUCUUUUUUAUAUGAAAGAUUUAUCGGUAUAAGACGGGCUCGCGUCCGAUUAGCUAGUUGGUAGGAUAGAAGCCUACCAAGGCGACGAUCGGUAGCCGGACUGAGAGGUCGAUCGGCCACACUGGGACUGAGAACGGCCCAGACUCCUACGGGAGGCAGCAGUGGGGAAUAUUGGGCAAUGGAGGCAACUCUGACCCAGCGAUACCGCGUGAAGGAAGAAGGCCUUCGGGUUGUAAACUUCUUUAGACAGGGAAGAAAGAAAUGACAUUACCUGUAGAAUAAGCCACGGCUAACUACGUGCCAGCAGCCGCGGUAAUACGUAGGUGGCAAGCGUUAUCCGGAAUUAGUGGGCGUAAAGAGCGCGCAGGUGGUUGAUUAAGUCUGAUGUGAAAGCCCACGGCU